rnacentral:rRNA from 1 species
AACGAACGCUGGCGGCAGGCUUAACACAUGCAAGUCGAACGGAUCCUUCGGGAUUACUGGCCUACGGGUGUGUAACGCGUGGGAACGUACCCUUUGCUACGGAAUAACUCCGGGAAACUUGUGCUAAUACCGUUUGUUCUCUUCCGGGGCAAGAUUUAUCGCCAAAGGAUCGGCCCGAGUUGGAUUAGCUAGUUGGUAGGGUAAUGGCCUACCACGGCGACGAUCCAUAGCUGGUUUGAGAGGAUGAUCAGCCACACUGGGACUGAGACGCGGCCGAGAAUGCUACGGGAAGGAGGAGAGGGGAAUAUAGGAAAAUGGGGGGAAGGAAGAAGGAGCAAGGGCGGGAGAGUGAUGAAGGUAGUAGGAAAGUAAAGCGCUAUAACAGGGGAAGAUAAUGACGGUAGCGGGAGAAGAAGCACCGGCUAACUACGUG